rnacentral:rRNA from 1 species
AUUUAACGCUGGCGGUAGGCUUAACACAUGCAAGUCGAACGGUUACAUAGCUAGCUUGCUAGCUGAUGACGAGUGGCGGACGGGUGAGUAACGCGUAGGAAUCUACCUAUUAGUGGGGGACAACCUGGUGAAAACCAGGCUAAUACCGCAUACGCCCUACGGGGGAAAGCAGGGGAUCUUCGGACCUUGCGCUAUUAGAUGAGCCUGCGUUAGAUUAGCUUGUUGGUGAGGUAAUGGCUCACCAAGGCGACGAUCUAUAGCUGGUCUGAGAGGAUGAUCAGCCACACUGGGACUGAGACACGGCCCAGACUCCUACGGGAGGCAGCAGUGGGGAAUAUUGCGCAAUGGGCGAAAGCCUGACGCAGCCAUACCGCGUGUGUGAAGAAGGGUUUAGGCUCGUAAAGCACUUUAAGUAGGGAGGAAGGCCUGUAAAUUAAUACUUUGCAGGAUUGACGUUACCUACAGAAUAAGCACCGGCUAACUCCGUGCCAGCAGCCGCGGUAAUACGGAGGGUGCAAGCGUUAAUCGGAAUUACUGGGCGUAAAGCGCGCGUAGGCGGUUUGUUAAGCGAGAUGUGAAAGCCCAGGGCUCAACCUUGGAACUGCAUUUCGAACUGGCAGGCUAGAGUACAAGAGAGGGUGGUAGAAUUUCCUGUGUAGCGGUGAAAUGCGUAGAUAUAGGAAGGAAUACCAGUGGCGAAGGCGGCCACCUGGCUUGAUACUGA